GGUUUUUAUUGGUAAAAUAAAAGUUUUGAAAACUUUUUAAAAGUGUUCGAUUCACUUAAAAACUU
rnacentral:tRNA from 1 species